rnacentral:lncRNA from 1 species
AAAAUUCAAAAAAUGACAAUCUUGCUUUAUGGCAUAGUUUCAUCUUGAACUAACAUAAAAUAAUGGUCAAAGAAGUUUGAAAUUUUUUUUGUGUCCGUUUCUCAAGAGAUUUCAUUGUGGUUGGUCCACUGAUUUAUGCAAUAUAUGAAUUUUUAUUAAAUUAACUGUUAAAACUUAAAGGCAAAGGCAAUACUCAUGUACUAGGAAAGGG